AGGACAUUGUGGCAGAGCUGGAACUGCAAAGCAAAGCAAGACAAAUAUCCCAACUUUGAUUACAGGAGUGGGAAGCUCUUGGUCCUCAAGGGACAGCUAAAGUUCAGCUCCUCACAGCCCCAGACAGCCAAUGAUAUGAAUACACAAAAGUGGCUUCUGAAAUAAAAACAACAAUCUAGAUUGCUCCUCAUACCACAAAUAAUGGAAAUUAUUUUCAAGUUGCUUUAAAUAAAUACUACUAAACCACUCAUAUUACAUGACAAAAGAGAAACAUCUGAAGAAUCCAUUGAUUUGGUCAAUUUUGGUAAGUAACUUUCAUAGACAAUAGUUUUU